rnacentral:rRNA from 1 species
GAUGAACGCUGGCGGCGUGCCUAAUACAUGCAAGUCGAGCGAAUGGAUUAAGAGCUUGCUCUUAUGAAGUUAGCGGCGGACGGGUGAGUAACACGUGGGUAACCUGCCCAUAAGACUGGGAUAACUCCGGGAAACCGGGGCUAAUACCGGAUAACAUUUUGAACCGCAUGGUUCGAAAUUGAAAGGCGGCUUCGGCUGUCACUUAUGGAUGGACCCGCGUCGCAUUAGCUAGUUGGUGAGGCAACGGCUCACCAAGGCAACGAUGCGUAGCCGACCUGAGAGGGUGAUCGGCCACACUGGGACUGGAACACGGCCCAGACUCCUACGGGAGGCAGCAGUAGGGAAUCUUCCGCAAUGGACGAAAGUCUGACGGAGUAACGCCGCGUGAGUGAUGAAGGCUUUCGGGUCGUAAAACUCUGUUGUUAGGGAAGAACAAGUGCUAGUUGAAUAAGCUGGCACCUUGACGGUACCUAACCAGAAAGCCACGGCUAACUACGUGCCAGCCGCCGCCGUAA